rnacentral:rRNA from 1 species
CGGACGGGUGAGUAACGCGUGGGUAACCUGCCUUGUACAGGGGGAUAACAGUUGGAAACGGCUGCUAAUACCGCAUAAGCGCACGGCAUCGCAUGAUGCAGUGUGAAAAACUCCGGUGGUAUAAGAUGGACCCGCGUUGGAUUAGCUAGUUGGUGAGGUAACGGCCCACCAAGGCAACGAUCGGUAGCCGGACUGAGAGGUUGAACGGCCACAUUGGGACUGAGACACGGCCCAG